UACGUAGGGUGCGAGCGUUAAUCGGAAUUACUGGGCGUAAAGUGUGCGCAGGCGGCUUCGCAAGUCGAGUGUGAAAUCCCCGAGCUUUAACUUGGGAAUUGCGCUCGAAACUACGGAGCUGGGAGUGUGGCAGAGGAAGGUGGAAUUCCACGUGUAGCGGUGAAAAUGCGUAGAGAUGUGGAGGAACACCGAUGCGAAGGCAGCCUUCUGGGGCCAACACUGACGCUCAUGCACGAAAAGCGUGGGGGAGCAAAACAGG
rnacentral:rRNA from 1 species